rnacentral:rRNA from 1 species
UACGUAGGGUGCAAGCGUUAAUCGGAAUUACUGGGCGUAAAGCGUGCGCAGGCGGUUAUGUAAGACAGGUGUGAAAUCCCCGGGCUUAACCUGGGAACUGCAUUUGUGACUGCAUAGCUAGAGUACGGUAGAGGGGGAUGGAAUUCCGCGUGUAGCAGUGAAAUGCGUAGAUAUGCGGAGGAACACCGAUGGCGAAGGCAAUCCCCUGGACCCGUACUGACGCUCAUGCACGAAAGCGUGGGGAGCAAACAGG